GUCUUUAAAAAGGUCAAGAACACUGAAAAUUGAUGAAAAUUGGCUUGGUUUUUGGUUAUUUGGUUUCCUCCGACAAAUUCAGUUUUUCUCAAAAUCCCAAAUCGUGCAUCUGGUUUGAAAUGUUUGGAAUUGGUUUUGGAGUUUCAUUCGAUUUGUUGUGUUGACACUAUUACAUUGUUGCUGAUACACCGUUGCUGCUACUGAUCCCUCAUUCUUUUUAUUUUUCUGUGAUUUCUAGGUAUUUUUUCCAAACCAUGGACAACAAGUUAUUAAGAACAUAUAUUUCGAGUUGAAGUCUGAAUGAAUACAAGUUGUAUUUGAAUCUCAUUUUUUCUGUUUCC
rnacentral:lncRNA from 1 species